rnacentral:lncRNA from 1 species
ACUACAAUUUGCGUGGAUAAUAAGUCGACGUUGGCGUUGGCGAAAAAUCCAGUGUUCCAUGAUCGAAGCAAGCAUAUUGACACACGCUACCACUACAUAAGAGAGUGCAUCACAAGAAAGAAUGUACAAGUAGAGUACGUGAAGUCCAAAGACCAAGUUACGGAUAUCUUCACCAAGCCACUCAAGCAAGAGGACUUCAUCAAGUUAAGAAGUUUGCUUGGAAUGAAAAAUCAAGUUUAAGGGGGGGUGCUAAAAAUAAAAUUAAAAUAAACUUGAUUUUGUAGUAAUUAUUUGGGCUUAAGAAAAUAUGAAAAAUAAAGAGCCCAAUUAGCCUAUUUUCUAGAAUGUGAGCCCAUUUAGCCCACGUUCUAGAAAUGUGUUCAAAGUCUGCUUGGAAUGACAAAUCAAGUUU